AUGCAUGGAGAAAAGGCCUUCACAAGCCUCUGCUAAUGUGUACAUAGUUUAUACUAAAUGACCCAUAGGUUGAGGAGGCGGUGACCGUGGCGGUGCAGGAGGAAGAUGAGGUAGCCAACACUGUUUAUAUAUAUAUAUAUAUAUAUAUAUAUAUAUAUAUACAUAUAUAUAUAUAUAUAUACACUUUUAUAUAUAUAUAUAUAUAUAUAUAUAUAUAUAUUAAUUGGGUGGCGACUUUGCAUGCGGAUGUCACCCAUAUCAACUUUCGAUGCCAGUUUCUGCGCCUACCAUGGUGACCACGGGUAAUGGGGAAUCAGGAUUCCAUUCCGUACAGGGACCCUGAGAAACGGCUACCACAUGCAAGGAAGGCAGCA